UACGUAGGGCGCAAGCGUUAUCCGGAAUUAUUGGGCGUAAAGAGCUCGUAGGCGGUUUGUCGCGUCUGCCGUGAAAGUCCGGGGCUCAACUCCGGAUCUGCGGUGGGUACGGGCAGACUAGAGUGAUGUAGGGGAGACUGGAAUUCCUGGUGUAGCGGUGAAAUGCGUAGAUAUCGGGAAGAACACCAGUGGCGAAAGCGCUCUACUGGGCCAUAACUGACACUGAGGCGCGAAAGCGUGGGGAGCAAACAGG
rnacentral:rRNA from 1 species